UGGACGAACGCUGGCGGCGUGCUUAAAACAUGCAAGUCGAACGGACUUCUCAUGAAGCUUGCGAUUGAGAAGUUAGUGGCGGACGGGUGAGUAACGCGUGGGCAACCUGCCCCUGAGCCCGGGAUAACAGUUCGAAAGGACUGCUAAGACCGGAUAUACUUGCGGUGAAGCAUUUCACUGCAAGGAAAGGGAACGCUCAGGGAUGGGCCCGCGUCCCAUUAGCUAGUUGGUGAGGUAACGGCCCACCAAGGCGACGAUGGGUAGCCGGCCUGAGAGGGUGAACGGCCACACUGGGACUGAGACACGGCCCAGACUCCUACGGGAGGCAGCAGUUGGGAAUCUUCGGCAAUGGGCGCAAGCCUGACCGAGCAACGCCGCGUGAGUGAUGAAGGUUUUCGGAUUGUAAAGCUCUGUCUUCCGGGACGAUAAUGACGGUACCGGAGGAGGAAGCCACGGCUAACUACGUG
rnacentral:rRNA from 1 species